UACGUAGGGUGCAAGCGUUUAAUCGGAAUUACUGGGCGUAAAGCGUGCGCAGGCGGUUGUGCAAGACCGAUGUGAAAUCCCCGGGCUUAACCUGGGAAUGGCAAUGGAGACUGCAAGGCUAGAGUUUGGCAGAGGGGGGUAGAAUUCCACGUGUAGCAGUGAAAUGCGUAGAGAUGUGGAGGAACACCGAUGGCGAAGGCAGCCCCCUGGGUCAAGACUGACGCUCAUGCACGAAAGCGUGGGGAGCAAACAGG
rnacentral:rRNA from 1 species